GUGGGCUCCAGGCUGAGGUAGUAGGUUGUAUAGUUGAGGAUAACACCAAAGGAGAUAACUGUACAGCCUCCUAUCUUUCCCUGGGGCUU
rnacentral:pre_miRNA from 1 species